GAUGAACGCUGGCGGCGUGCCUAAUACAUGCAAGUCGAGCGAACAGACGAGGAGCUUGCUCCUCUGACGUUAGCGGCGGACGGGUGAGUAACACGUGGAUAACCUACCUAUAAGACUGGGAUAACUUCGGGGAACCGGAGCUAAUACCGGAUAAUAUAUUGAACCGCAUGGUUCAAUAGUGAAAGACGGUUUUGCUGUCACUUAUAGAUGGAUCCGCGCCGCAUUAGCUAGUUGGUAAGGUAACGGCUUACUAAGGCAACGAUGCGUAGCCGACCUGAGAGGGUGAUCGGCCACACUGGAACUGAGACACGGUCCAGACUCCUACGGGAGGCAGCAGUAGGGAAUCUUCCGCAAUGGGCGAAAGCCUGACGGAGCAACGCCGCGUGAGUGAUGAAGGUCUUCGGAUCGUAAAACUCUGUUAUUAGGGAAGAACAAAUGUGUAAGUAACUAUGCACGUCUUGACGGUACCUAAUCAGAAAGCCACGGCUAACUACGUG
rnacentral:rRNA from 1 species